rnacentral:tRNA from 1 species
UUGAUUAAAGCCAAAAUUUAGCGGCAUUUUAUUGUUAAUAAAUUAAUUGAAUAUUAAAAUUCUAAUCAAA